rnacentral:rRNA from 1 species
UACGGGGGGGGCAAGCGUUGUUCGGAAUUACUGGGCGUAAAGGGCUCGUAGGCGGCCAACUAAGUCGGACGUGAAAUCCCUCGGCUUAACCGGGGAACUGCGUCCGAUACUGGAUGGCUUGAGUUUGGGAGAGGGAUGCGGAAUUCCAGGUGUAGCGGUGAAAUGCGUAGAUAUCUGGAGGAACACCGGUGGCGAAAGCGGCGCACUGGACCACAACUGACGCUGAUGCGCGAAAGCUAGGGGAGCAAACAGG